UACGUAGGGUGCAAGCGUUGUCCGGAAUUAUUGGGCGUAAAGAGCUCGUAGGCGGUCUGUCGCGUCUGCUGUGAAAACUCAGGGCUUAACCCUGAGCUUGCAGUGGGUACGGGCAGACUAGAGUGCGGUAGGGGAGACUGGAAUUCCUGGUGUAGCGGUGAAAUGCGUAGAUAUCGGGAGGAACACCGGUGGCGAAGGCGGCUAUCUGGACAGAGUCUGACGCUGAGGCGCGAAAGCUAGGGGAGCAAACAGG
rnacentral:rRNA from 1 species